rnacentral:lncRNA from 1 species
CAUAGCAAGAGGCACAGCUGGGAUUAGAACCUGGGUCUUCUUGCUCCAAAUGGUUUCCCAUUUACUACUCUGACUCUACCAGGGAACUUGCUGAUUCUGAGUGAGCACAACCUACAUUUAAAUCAAUCUAGUUUGUAUUUCCUUUCUUUGAAAUGAGUCUCUUUGUGACUUCCAGGGUGAUAAUUAGCUAAUUUGAUAGAUUUACUCGUAUUUCUAUGCUAAUGCUAAGAGAUGGCUACAGGGUCUUUUCUCCUGGUGGGUAACAUAUUUUAUGUUAUAUAUGUAAAAGGUAACAUAACCUUUUAACAGGGAGCAUCUGGAGACAGUGACCCAGCUCUGUCAGUCACAUCAAGAAGUGGAUACUUGUGAGAUGGAUAUCGCUAAGCGCUGGGUACCCAAAGAAAACCAAAAAUAGUCCUUGCCUUCAAGGAACUCCCAUUUUAGUGGAGAAGACCACAUGCAAACAGCUCGGUACAUACAACAUAUAUAACUGGAGGUCAUCUCAGAGGAAAGUGGGUAGGUAACAUGCUUCAUCAUAGAUUCUCUGAAGACAUGGUUGUCUCCCUGUUCCUUGAGACACAGCAAUAUCGAAAUCAGGCCAGUGAAUAGCCCUCCAAUGGCCUCUAAAUAUUCAAGUGAAAGGAAGAGUCCAUUGAUGCAGUAAACUUCGUUGUUGUCUUAUUUUAAGAAAUUGCCUCGGCCAUCCCAACCUUCAGCAACCUCCACCUCUAUUAGUCAAGCAACCAUCAACAUGGAGGCAGGACGUUCCAGCCGCCAAAAGAUUAUGACAUGACUAGCUAACGACUCAGAUGAUGAUUAGCAUUCUUUAGCAAUAAAGUAUUUUUAAUUAAGUUUGCA